rnacentral:rRNA from 1 species
UCAUGGCUCAGGAUGAACGCUAGCUACAGGCUUAACACAUGCAAGUCGAGGGGCAGCAUGAACUUAGCUUGCUAAGUUUGAUGGCGACCGGCGCACGGUGAGUAACACGUAUCCAACCUUCCGUUUACUCAGGGAUAGCCUUUCGAAAGAAAGAUUAAUACCUGAUAGUAUGGUGAGAUUGCAUGAUAGCACCAUUAAAGAUUUAUUGGUAAACGAUGGGGAUGCGUUCCAUUAGGUAGUAGGCGGGGUAACGGCCCACCUAGCCGACGAUGGAUAGGGGUUCUGAGAGGAAGGUCCCCCACAUUGGAACUGAGACACGGUCCAAACUCCUACGGGAGGCAGCAGUGAGGAAUAUUGGUCAAUGGGCGAGAGCCUGAACCAGCCAAGUAGCGUGAAGGAUGAAGGUCCUACGGAUUGUAAACUUCUUUUAUACGGGAAUAAAGUAUCCUACGUGUAGGAUUUUGUAUGUACCGUAUGAAUAAGCAUCGGCUAACUCCGUG